rnacentral:rRNA from 1 species
AUGUUUCAUGAGGAGAACCAUGGCAGAAUGAUUGACCGUGAGAAGUAUAAGAAAGAGUUGGAGAAGGUGAACAAGGAGUUGGAUACACUUGGGGAUCAGUACAGUCAGCUGGUUGAGGAUGUCACCAAGAUGUUUUAUUGGGCAGAUCAGAACAACAGGGUCAUGAGAGAUGAAGAGUUCAAGCAGAAGCAGAUGGAUGUGGACAAGGACAUGGAGAAGCUAGCUAUCAGCAAGGAGAAGGAGAGUGAUGCCAUUGGCAAGAUGAAGGAGAUGGAGAAGCUGGCUCAGGAGCACAAGGAGAUGAAGUGCAUUCUUAGAUCUCAGGGAGAGAUCAUUAGGAACACCAGGAAGGAGAGGGAUGACUUCAAGGAACAGAGGGACUGGCUGAUAGAGGAGAAGAAGAAGCUGGAGUUUCUGGUGGGUGAUCUUAUGAAAGCUGGUCAUGGCAACAAGGACAAGCUUGCCAAGAUCAAGUCAAUCCUUGAUGAGUGA